AACAAUGGCCAAAAUGUCCUAAAGGCACCAGAUCCUGUUUGAUUUUGGAAGCGAAGAAAGGUCAAGUUUACUUAGUGCUUAGAAGGGAGAUCACAAAUGAAUACUAGAUGUUGUCAGCU
rnacentral:rRNA from 11 species